ACAAAAUCACUUGGGACCUUGUUAAAAUAUAGAUUCUGACACAGUAGGUCUGGGUGGGGUUGAGAAUCUGCAUUUCUAACAAGCUUCCGGGUGAUAUUGCU
rnacentral:pre_miRNA from 1 species